rnacentral:lncRNA from 1 species
GGUAUAUGGGGUUAUUAUGGGGUAUAUGGGGUUAUUAUGGGGUUAUUAUGGGGUAUAUGGGGUUAUAUGGGGUUAUAUGGGGUUAUAUGGGGGUAUAUGGGGUUAUAUGGGGUUAUAUGGGGGUAUAUGGGGUUAUAUGGGGUUAUAUGGGGUUAUAUGGGGUUAUAUGGGGCUAUAUGGGGUUAUAUGGGAUAUGGGAUGUAAUGGGGUUAUAUGGGAUGUAAUGGGGUUAUAUGGGAUGUAAUGGGGUUAUAUGGGAUGUAAUGGGGUUAUAUGGGAUGUAAUGGGGUUAUAUGGGAUGUAAUGGGGUUAUAUGGGAUGUAAUGGGGUUAUAUGGGGUUAUAUGGGGUUAUAUGGGGGUAUAUGGGGGUAUAUGGGGGUAUAUGGGGUUAUUAUGGGGUAUAUGGGGUUAUUAUGGGGUAUAUGGGGUUCUAUGGGGUUCUAUGGGGUUAUAUGGGGUUAUUAUGGGGUAUAUGGGGUUAAUAUGGGAUUUAUGGGGUUAUUAUGGGGUAUAUGGGGUUAUUAUGGGGUUAUAUGGGGUUAUAUGGGGUUAUAUGGGAUAUAUGGGGUUAUAUGGGAUUUAUGGGGUUAUUAUGGGGUAUAUGGGGUUAAUAUGGGGUUAUAUGGGGUUAUAUGGGGUUAUAUGGGGGUUAUUUGGGGUACUAAUGGGAUAUUUGGGCUAUUUAUGGGAUAUUUGGGGUAUUUAUGGGUUAUUUUGGGUAAUUUAAUGGGAUAUUUGGGGUAUUUAUGGGAUAUUUGGGGUAUUUAUGGGAUAUUUGAGGUAUUUAUGAGUUAUAUAGGGUAUUUUUAUGGGAUAUUUGGGGUAUUUAUGGGAUAUUUGGGGUAUUUAUGGGUUCCUUAUGGGUAUUUCUAUGAGAUUUUGGGGUAUUUAUGGGAUAUUUGGGGUAUUUAUGGGAUAUUUGGGGUAUUUAUGGGAUAUUUGGGGUAUUUAUGGGUUAUUUAGGGUAUUUUGAUGGGAUUUUGGGGUAUUUAUGGGAUAUUUGGGGUAUUUGAUGGGCUUUAAUGGGAUUUUUAGUAGGAUUUAGGGGAUAUUUGGGGUAUUUAUGGGUUAUUUAUGGAUUAUUUUGGGUAUUUUGAUGUGAUUUUGGGUUAUUUAUGGGCUAUUUGAGGUGUUCCUGUUCUGUUUAUGGGGUUUAGAUUACGAGACGCUUCGCCUUGCGGGGUUGGUGUUGGCCAUCGCCAUGUUUGUGCUUGGGGUCCUCGUAGCCCUCAGUGAGUGACCCCAUAAACGACCCCAAAAGACCCUUUUGACCCCCAAAAUAGCCCCAAAUCGACCUAAAACCCCCCUAAAUCACCCCAAAAUAGCCCCAAAUCCCAUCAAAAUACCCCAAAAUAGCCCUAAAAUUGACCAAAAUCCC